ensembl:ncRNA F10C2.10 ncRNA
CUGGCGACGUGGCUGAUGCAAAUCGAAUUGCAAACGACGACGGCAGGAGAAGAGAAGCUGCCGAAGAGGGAAGAUGAAGGGACGAGCAGCCACAGAGCAUAGCUCGCGUGGCGACGGCGGCGACACAGCGGAGCGAGAAGCCGUCGAUGCGGACGCGACGAAGGCAGAGGGGAAAUGGGCGGAGCGCGGCCUGGAAACGGGUGUGACAGCAGUAGCCUCCGCCACGGCUGCCUCUCACUGCCAUCGCAGUCGCAGCCGCCAUCAAACGAUCCUAAUUGUGGACUUAUCGGGAGGACGAGAGCGCCGCCAAAGUUAGAGCCGCGCAAGAGUGGAGAGCAGGAAGAUGCGUCACACGCAACUUGCCCCCGGAACAGAAGAGAAAAGGAGACGAAGACUUCACCC